AGAACCCACACUGACCUCCCAGCACACUCCCUGCACAACCAUGCCUUUCCUGCUUGCAAGGCCCACUGUCCAGACCUGCCUCUGGCAGGAGAAGCUGAAAAGUCACACCGAGGACCAUUGAGUCAUCCAUCAUUCCAUUCAGUAGAAGGAUAAACAGGGGGGUGUCCCAGCUCCCCUGCUGCUUAUGGUCCCACAAAAGAGAAGGAAGUAUGAAGAGGAGAUGAGCAGGAAGCAGAAUCCAAGGUGCCCUGGGAAAGGGAAGUGAGAGGAUGCCAGGGGGAUGGAGGUCUAGACCCUCCGGUAAAAGUUGGAACUCAAAUAGGGCCUUCAGGAAAGAAGAGGAGCUCUCCCAGCCGUCGGGGAGAAGAGCAUUCCAGAACGUUGAACUGGUAAGGGCACAGGCAGAGACAUGGCCGUGGCCCAUCCUCAUAUCAUCUAGCGAGGCUGGAGAAGUGGGCAGCAAGAGACGAGUCUGGAAAGGAAGACUGAGGCCAAAUGAGGGAGACUUCAGCACGAACCUGUAGCGUCAGGAGGUUUUCUUCCGCUGAAAGGGAAGAUGUGUUGAUAGUUUGGAGCAGUGGAAGGAUGUGGUUGAAUCUGUGCUUUGGAAAGACUAAAGCCCGCCAGGCUUGUCCGUCCACGGGAUUCUCCAGGCAAGAAUACUUCAGUGGGUCGUCAUUUCCUCCAAGGCAGCAGGGGAGACCAUUCAAAUUAAUGCUGCAAGUUGGUUGUACCCAGAGUGGCCGGGUGUCUUUUGAUUGCUAUAAAAGGUAUAAUCAGAAAGGAAGAGACCCUGAAAGAUGAUGGCUUGAAUAAACAUGGCUGCAGCCUGUUGAGAAUGUGCCAAGCACUGUGCUAAACUCCUCCCUCCAAGACCUCAUGGCAGUUUGGCAAGAAAGUUGCUCGAUGCCCACGGAUCACUAUGCUCAGCUGAUGAGAGGAAACAGACAUGAGCAAAACUGAGGCACGCUCACCACCACUUGAUAACAGAGUGAUCUGAACCCAGGACUGUCUGCUGCUGCAGCCCACCUCUGGGUCACUCCACACACCACCCUCCCUCGAGGAGAACUGGCCCAGCCCUCCUGGUAUCUGCUGAGCCCUGGCUCUGUGAGCUCUUUAAGCAAGCUUCAGAGUUUCAUUUGGUUUCCUGAGUUGGCUUCCAGACCAAGGAGAGCGCUUUCUGGUUAUAAAUUAUUGAGCUGACUUCCUGCCACAAAUCAGUCUCCUGUGAGUCUGGCUAUGGGGGCCAGUUUUUCCAGGUCCUGAGUGACUCUGGAGAAAGGCAUUCCAGAGGUUGGACGGUCAGGGCAGAGCCCCACCCCUAGGGCUCUGACAGUAGCCUGGCAGCGCUGGGUCCAGCCUUGACUGGACGGCCAGGGGCCAGGGUGGAUGGGAUAAACUGAGAGACUCCCUUCUGUCCCCACCACUGCUCAGCCCUUGAGCCCUCGGGGACCCUUGGGGAAGGGGGCUCGGCUUCUCCUUUCUCGGGUUCCUCCCUCCUUGCCUGCAUUCAAAGUCUCCACUUGGCUGCUUGCCUGGGAAAGGAGGAGAAAAAGAGAAGAAAAAGAAAAGAGGAGGAAAUAGGGGGAACCAAGAGCAGGAAAGAACACCAUCUGCCUGUGGUUUGGUGUAGAGGGGAAGGCAUGGGGGCCGUCCCCCCCCUACCAGGAUCACAAAUGCUAUCUUCCCACCCACCCAUCACUCACCACUUGGGGGGCAAAGCUUAGCCAAGCUCAGCACAAUGAUAAAAUUGAGAUGCAGAUUCCUUCCCAUUGCUCUGAAUAGAGCAGAUUGGAUACGGAUUUCCCCCUUUUCUUCCCAUUUAGACCAUCUGGGCGGCUGGGGCCCCAGAGAAGAUUGGGACCAGGUGGGGGAGGGGCAGAGGUUUCCUAGCACUUUUCAGCUCUGAAACCUCAGGGUGAGGGUAACAGAUGCCACCCCCACCAUAUCCCCUUCCCUGGGGCAAGUUUGUUCUCUGUCUUUGUAUUCUGCUCUCCGGGCUGGGCGGGGCUAGCUGGAGUCGCCUCUCCUCUGUCCUAGCAAACUCCAAGUGGUGCGUUUGUCAUCAGGGUCUGCCGUCCUUCCUGCAGGCCCACCCACAUCCCCUAACUGCAAAUAAACCUAUGGGGAGGAUGGAAGGGAAAAUGCGAUCAGAGAAAGAUGAUAGGAAGGGCUAUUAAAGAUUGCUUUAAGCCUGAGGAAAGUGAAGCUUGGGGAAGAGUAUCCAGCUUAAGGUUGGGGAAGGAGCUGGUGGGAAAACCAAGACUAGAUAAUAACAACAGCAGCAACAAAGACCAUGUUAUUUUGUAUCAGGAUGUGUUCUAUGCUCUUUGUAUUAUGCCAUUUAAUCCACACAAUAACCCUACAAAGUAGGUACGAUUAUCAUGCCUAUUAGCCCAUUUCAUAGAUGGGCAAACUGAGGAACAGACCUGUUAAGUAACUCGUAUAAGGCCAAACUGGUAGAAGUCAGACCCAAAUCCAGGUGGUGGGGCUCCAGAGCCUGCCCCUCGCACGGUCUCAGCACACCACCCAGGAAAAUGGUAUUAUUUGACAGACCCUUGGGAGUGGAGACAUGAGUGGACAUGACUGAGUGACUGAACUGAACUGAUCUUGUAACAUAAAUUUAUUUCCUGUUUCAUAGCUAAAUAAUUUUCCAUUAUGUAGCUCUAACUCACUUUCUUUACUCAUCAAUCAGUUGAUGGACAUUUGGGUUGAUUGGGAAGAUCUCCUGGAGAAGGAAAUGGCAACCCACUCCAGUAUUCUUGCCUGGACAAUCCUACGGAUGGAGGAGCCUGGUGGGCUGCAGUCCAUGGGGUCGCUAGGAGUCGGACACGACUGAGCGACUUCACUUUCACUUUGGGAGUGGAGCUCAGGCUGCUCCAGUAAGCAUUUGCAGAUGGGGAAACUUAAAAAACAGCCCACAGCCAUUCUGUAUUUAUAAUCACAAAAUCUAGACUUGUUCCUCUGAACAGAGUAUAUCAACACAGAGUUAGAACUGGAAAUAAGAAUAGAAAGGGAAUAUUUACAUCGCUUGGCAAAAGAAGCAAGUGUGAACCUCGUGAGGAGAUGGCAUGUGGCUGGACCAAACACGGGAGGAGAGAACCUGGCGCUCAGGGAGACACCAUGAAUUAGAUCCAGGGCCCUGCCUCAUGGUUGCAGCACAGCUUAAGUGAAAUAAGGAGGCGCUCAGAUUCAUCCGGAAGUUUCUUGAGCAGAAGCUUGGUGCCUAGGAUGGCAUGAGGAAGUCCAUGGCCCUCCUGCAGCCACACUGCUGGUUGCCUCCUUGACAGUCACUUGCUCAUCAUCCUCAGCAACAAACCCCAUGAUACACAAAGUGGCAUCAUUCCCAGUCCCAGAAAAAUGUGAUGUCCUGAGCUACAGUGGCCAUUUCCAUACCCAGAGAGGAUAGGUUCCAUGCCCUCCCAGGAAGGAAGAUACAGACUCUCCUGAUGCUAUCAUGUCACUGAGGGAAGACCAGCAGCUGCUGCCACCUCCAAACCUCUUGUUAAGUGAUUAAAUGAGUCCUUAUGUCUAAAGCUAUUUUAAGUGGUGUUUUCUGUUUCUUGAAGUUGAAAACAUUCCUAAGUGGCACACUCCCUCCUGUAAAAUCUCUUCUUUCCAGGGAGAUAACGAGCUGACCACUUUUAAUUAGGGUUACGUCAAGAGCAGACACUGCUGCUCAGAGCAUUUGCCAACCUAGACUGCCUAGGAUGUGGGGUGAAGGAUG